AGCGAACGCUGGCGGCAGGCUUAACACAUGCAAGUCGAGCGGGCACCUUUCGGGGUGUCAGCGGCGGACGGGUGAGUAACGCGUGGGAACGUGCCCUCUGGUUCGGAAUAACUCAGGGAAACUUGAGCUAAUACCGGAUACGCCCUUCUGGGGAAAGGCUUGCUGCCGGAGGAUCGGCCCGCGUCUGAUUAGCUAGUUGGUUAGGUAACGGCUCACCAAGGCGACGAUCAGUAGCUGGUCUGAGAGGAUGAUCAGCCACACUGGGACUGAGACACGGCCCAGACUCCUACGGGAGGCAGCAGUGGGGAAUAUUGGACCAUGGGCGCAAGCCUGAUCCAGCCAUGCCGCGUGAGUGAUGAAGGCCUUAGGGUUGUAAAGCUCUUUUAUCCGGGACGAUAAUGACGGUACCGGAGGAAUAAGCCCCGGCUAACUUCGUG
rnacentral:rRNA from 1 species